rnacentral:rRNA from 1 species
AUUGAACGCUGGCGGCAUGCUUUACACAUGCAAGUCGAACGGUAACAGGCCGCAAGGUGCUGACGAGUGGCGAACGGGUGAGUAAUGCAUCGGAACGUGCCCAGUCGUGGGGGAUAACGCAGCGAAAGCUGCGCUAAUACCGCAUACGAUCUAUGGAUGAAAGCGGGGGAUCGUAAGGCCUCGCGCGAUUGGGGCGGCCGAUGUCAGAUUAGGUAGUUGGUGGGGUAAAGGCUCACCAAGCCAACGAUCUGUAGCUGGUCUGAGAGGACGACCAGCCACACUGGGACUGAGACACGGCCCAGACUCCUACGGGAGGCAGCAGUGGGGAAUUUUGGACAAUGGGCGCAAGCCUGAUCCAGCAAUGCCGCGUGCAGGAAGAAGGCCUUCGGGUUGUAAACUGCUUUUGUACGGAACGAAACGGUCCUGGUUAAUACCCGGGGCUAAUGACGGUACCGUAAGAAUAAGCACCGGCCAACUACGUGCCAGCCGCCGCCGUAAAAC